UUGCAAUGAUGAUAAUCCAAAGGUUUCGCUAAUAUUUAUUAUCUGAAUAAUUAUGCUGAUACACCUUGGCUGACUGAGCAA